ensembl:lncRNA
AUUGCCUAGUCACUGAAGCAUCAGAGAGGCAACAGGGAGGAUGCAGUUUUCAUUUUGUCCCAUGGACUGUGCUGGAAGGAACACGGGCUACAGAUCCUAAAAUCGUUUUCACUACCCAUGGAGAGGAUCAGUCAGUGGAGAAAAAAACCCAACAAACCAGACAAGCCAAAGAAACCCAUUAGAAACUGUCUUUGGAGUACGGGCUGAAAAUCAGGAUGGUGUGCUGAUGCAUCAUGAGUUUUCUGUAUGUCUGCUAGGACCCUAAGCUUUUCUGUCCAUCUGUGAAACCAUACUUCCUGUGGGAAGUCAGGCCAGUCCCCUGGAAGAGCACUGCCUGAGGAGAGAGGCUGGUUACAAGCACACAGUGAGGAAUCUCAGUCACAGCAGGAGGAGGGAGCACUGCUGUCCUCGCUGCAGCCCAGCCUCAUGACAGCGAUGUAGCCAUUCCACAGCUGCUGGGAAGGAACCGAGCCAAGAGAGAAACCCUCGAGCUGUCAAUAGAUCCAGAUGUCACUGCUGCUGCUGCUGCUGCUGCUGCUGUUGGAAAGAGAUACACCAGAGGUUGUCAUCUGGUCAGCUGGUCCAUCUGUCAACCAGAGCACUAAUAUGACUGUUUAUGGCAGCAGCCGUCUUCGUGUUUUAUGCAUCAGACUACCACCUUCAGCUCCUUUGAAAGGUUUCCACUGUUACAAGUUGAGCAUAAAACUCCAUUUCUACCUACAGUUAUUUUAUAUAUAUUAAACGAACUAACUAACUAAAUAAAUAAAAGGCUAUUUUUAAAAAGUUUCCCUUU